AUUAGAGUAUGUUUGGCAUGAAGAUUUUUUUUUACUCAUAUUUAAUCAGCAUAAAUAUUAUGAUAUAUAUUUUUCAAAUAAACUUAUUUUCUUCUAAUUUUAAAAAGGGUAGCCCAUACAUAAGGAAGGCUUUUUCAAAAGGCCCAUUAGGGUAAUAAGCUAACCCUAAUAUGUCCUAUAUAAGCACACAUAUGAUGUGUAACUAUAGACGAACAACAGGCACAUAAAAUACAACAAAUGUAGAGAAUAUAACAAUCAUACAUUUCAUUCUCUCCUCAAUCAAUUAGGAGAGGAUUACUCCAACAUAUUGUGACAAUCACCAUCAAUCAGUAAAAUUCAACCGCGAUUCAUUCUACUCUUCUACUUUCUCUACAAAAGUUUUCUUUUAUGAAUUACGUAUGUUAUCUAAUGAAUUUCAAAUUAAUUAUGAUGUGUA
rnacentral:lncRNA from 1 species